AGCGCGGAGGAACAUGGCGGCAGCAACAAGAGGCGGCCCAGCCCUCUCCUUGAAGCCUGCGGUGCCCUCCGCGCAGCCACAAGGAGAGUGGCACUGCGCAUGCGCCAGCACCGCCCGCCUGCGCGCGCCUGUCUGUUGCGGCCAUGGCUUGGCGGACCUCGGCUGUGGGAGCUCUUCCAACAAAAAGAUGACGGUAUGGGUUGUGAGAAGGUUUUACAUGGAGGUGACUCAGCAAAGCAUUUUUCUUUAGAGAAGCAGCUGGAAGGACAGAGAGUGGAAAGAAAAUGGGAAGUAUUGUGGAACAUGAGAAUAAAGGAACAACUCUGCAGCAAAUGCAAUGUCUUAACCACAGCACUGAACAACUGUUGAGAACCACACUGGAAGUGAGCACCAGAAAAUAAUGCUGUAGGAGGAGGCUGUGCAGAAUGGCAAUAACCCUCACUGUACCAUAAAAAACAACUGGAAGGUGUAGUGCAGGUUACAGCAUCUGAAAAGACACUUCUAGAGAAGGGGCACCACACUGCCUCAGAUAAGUGGCCAUAUCUGUGCUGGUGGAAAGUGAUACAGUUCCACUGGAGGGGAAGGGACCAAAGAGAUUUUCCUUAUCUGCGGACCUGCUCAUUGGUUUGUAAGAUAUGAGCUUUCAUGGCCCAUUGACAUGUUUCAGUUCUUUUGUUCAUGACCACUUUUCUUCCAUGGUUUGUGUGCUACAGAUGGUAACCUGAGUCUCUCUUUACGGCUCACACAGAGUAAAUGGUAUCAGUACCAGUGAACGAUGGAGAAAAAAAUGAUGAAAAUAAGGUCAAGAAGCACUGUGUACCUAAUGUGGGUAAAAUGCUUGCAUCCUUAAUACAAUACCCUCUGCACGAGCAAGAAGGAUUUGCACUAGCUGUGAGGCCAUGAACUCAGUGAAACACUGAUACGUGGUGCAGCCAGUUACUUCAUUUUACAUCAUAAAGUUUAAGAUAUAUUUAAAUGUAAUAGCAUCUGUGCUUGAAUUCAAAGUGGGCCUCCUUCAUAAUACAGUCAGGUGGCAUUUCAUGGGAUUAGCAACAGCAUGAAGUGUGUUUUAUUUCAUUUUAAGAUGUCCGUUUAAUGACACACUGCGCCAUAUACAAUGUGCCUGUGCAAUACUAAUGUUCCUACAUGUAGUUUUAGCAUUACUAAGGUCUCUUGGGCAAGCCCACGGUGUAAUUUGAAACACUCUUCAGCUGAUAGAUUAAGGGAUGAUGAAAGAUAACUUAAUGGUGUUAGUAUUUGCUCAAAGGCUUUGUGCAAUCGUUUACAUCCGUUGGUUACAUUCAUACUUUCUGCAGAUUGCAAGGGCAGUUGUUUCAAUAUGCUGUAGCUGUGCAAACUUUACCUUUCUGUGGAAGUAUAUUUUAGACUAUGUAUCAGAGUGGAAAUGUAGUUUAAGUUUUAACAGAAACCCUGAACUUUAUACCUUUAUUUCCACUACUCUCAUUGGUUACAUACAUGUAACAAUCACAUAGGUAUGCCCAAGCAGUUAUUUGUCCUGGGAAUGAAAUAAUCAUACUGGGUACAUAACUAAGACUUUGCUAUCCAAAGAUUAUGUUUUCAAACGUGAUUAUGAGUUAUUAUCUUUAUUUUAGAGACAGGAAAACGUGAGGUAAACAUGCACUGACCACUGGGCAGAAGAAAUCCGCUGUGAGCUGUGUCUGUGCACCAUGCUUUUGUUGUAGUCUGCUCCCAGUAGUAGUAAGCUCCAGGCUGCAGCAUGGAAAGGGCACUAGGAGCAAAUUAUUCCCAAUUAAAUGAUUAAUAGAAAGGGAUGAGAAGGUGAACAUGUUCACACACAGUAUUAGAUACUUAAACACCCAGGCUAGGAACAUGCUCUGCUGUAUUUGCCUGAGUGUCUCCUGACUAUGUGUAGAGCAUGCAAAAGCUAUAAGGAAUAACGACCUCCAAACAGUCUACGCAAUCCAAGUCUAUAUUUUCCAUUGCUUCUGUAUUCAGGUUAAUUUAAACUUAAGAAUGUUGUGAUGUGUGAAUAAGUAAACUGCUGUAAGAGACAGCGCUCUUCUCUUCAACUAUGAAAAACUGGUUUGACUUCCAUUGGCAUCUCCUGACUUUCUCAUGUUAAUCAUCUGUGAAGUGCAAACACCAGCCGGAAAAGGGAUCCGCAUCUUUCAGCAUCAGCUUUGAACUUUCUUUAUUCAAAAGGACAGCUAGAACUGUAAUUAGGUACAGCUAGUCUUCAUUAUUUAGCUCAUUUAUUAUUUAUUGAUGUCUUUUCCCACAGUGCCUGUGAAUCUCACAUCUCGUGCUGACAGAGACGGGAGUCGGAGUGCUCUGUUUGCUUCCACAUGCUCCAGAGAUCACGUAUGACCAAAAUGGUGACAGCUUCAGUAACAGGUUGCUUUGCCUUGCCGUGCUCUUCAAGAAAGAAAUCUAUUCUGCAAUAUACAACUUCCAUCUUUCUGAGAGGCUUUCCUCCUUGAAUCCUUAUCUGUGAAGGACUGGCAGAAGGAAAGGCAAGAACUUGAAAGCAGCCUGGUGGGUUUUGAGGGGGUGAGGUUAACUGUACUGAGGUACAGUAGAAUUGUUAAAGUAGAUUUUCAAUUUCA